CUCCGGAUGGCCAAGCUGGUAAGGCGUCAGGCUGUAAUGGAUUUCCGAAAAAACCUGAAAAUCGCGUGUUCGAGUCACGCUCCGGAGA